rnacentral:rRNA from 1 species
UACAGAGGGUGCGAGCGUUGUCCGGAAUCACUGGGCGUAAAGGGCGCGUAGGUGGCGACCCAAGUCAGUGGUGAAAGCUCGAUGCUCAACAUCGAGUCGGCCACUGAUACUGGGUUGCUCGAGCACUGUAGAGGCAGAUGGAAUUCCGGGUGUAGCGGUGGAAUGCGUAGAGAUCCGGAAGAACACCGGUGGCGAAGGCGGUCUGCUGGGCAGUUGCUGACACUGAGGCGCGACAGCGUGGGGAGCAAACAGGG